UAACACGUGAGGAACUUGCCCAUGAGCGGGGGACAACAUUCGGAAACGGAUGCUAAUACCCCAUAGGUGGAUUGGUCGCAUGACUAAUUCAUUAAAGGUGGCUCUGCUACCACUCAUGGAUAGCCUCGCGGCGUAUUAGCUAGUUGGUAAGGUAAUGGCUUACCAAGGCAGUGAUACGUAGCCGACUUGAGAGGGUGAUCGGCCACACUGGGACUGAGACACGGCCCAG
rnacentral:rRNA from 1 species